AUAAAAGUGUCCAUUUGAGUUCCGUUUGCAAGGGCCGUACGUUUUCCUUGAGGAGAUUUCUAUGAAGUGACGAAGGCAAGGACCUCAACAUCUCGGCCUCCGCCAGAAACGAAGCCACGAAGACAGUUAACCAAGAGAAGACCACCGAGCUGUUUCUCGAGCGGCUCGGACGUCAUGGAGACUUGCCCUUCCCGGUGUCAGGACGAGAAAGGCGGCCUCGUCUGCAGCGGUUUCGAGGGAAAGAACAGCUAAAACAGAAGCAUGUGGUGAGGAUUUCAC